GCCUGACUGGGGUUCAGUUUUAAAUUUCCUGUCAGGUGGUGUUGCAGGGUUUCCGAUAGAGAGGGAGAGUAAAUUAAUACAUGUAUGAAUAGUAAAUUAGGUCGUUAUUUCGACCACAUUUUCUUAAUUGCCCCGUCUAGUGGAUAAACAGAAUUCUACUUAACAAUGAUCCGUUUUAUUCUGAUCCAGAACCGAGCUGGAAAGACCCGCCUGGCAAAGUGGUACAUGCAGUUUGACGACGAUGAAAAGCAGAAGCUGAUUGAAGAGGUUCACGCUGUGGUGACUGUGCGGGAUGCCAAGCAUACAAACUUUGUAGAGUUCAGGAAUUUCAAGAUCAUUUAUCGCCGUUAUGCUGGACUUUACUUCUGCAUCUGUGUUGAUGUGACAGACAACAAUCUAGCUUAUCUGGAAGCCAUUCAUAAUUUUGUGGAGGUUCUGAAUGAGUAUUUUCAUAAUGUCUGCGAGUUGGAUCUGGUCUUCAAUUUCUACAAGGUCUAUACUGUGGUGGACGAGAUGUUCCUGGCAGGAGAAAUCCGUGAGACGAGCCAGACGAAGGUGCUCAAACAGUUGCUCAUGCUGCAGUCUUUGGAGUAACAACCCUGAAUGAGACCCCAUUGCUUCUCACCCACUUGAAGACACUAACAGCCCCCUUCCAGCAAACAGACAGGCACAUGGAGUUAAAAGGUUAACUUGGCAUUUGAAUCUGGCAAGCAUUCUCAUUUGUAAAGACGAGCCCCCCUUUUCCAACAUGGACCCUGGUGGUGUUACCUGCAUCGGCCCUGGUCUUUUCAGCCACUUCUCUUAAAGGGAAUGCUGCAGAGUGGGCGUCUGGCUGUCACGGAGCACCAUGAUGAUUGUGUGCUGUCGUGGCAUCUCGCUGAUUUGAAUUGGGCAAUAAGAGAAUGAAAUGAUCAGAAGUUAAAAAAUAUAUAAAAUGGGUAUUGAUACAACUGAACCCACUUGACUCACGGGCUCUGCUUGUCUCGGUUAAUCUUUUAACUCCAUGCUAAUUAAAGUCGGACUAAUUAACAGUGCUUUGCUUUUUAAAAUUUUUUUCAGGGCGUGUUUACGUUGCUUAUAUCUGAAAUAAGACGCCUGAAGGGACCAAGUAAGCCUCAGCUGUAGGCCAGUAAUAAAAUGUCUUGUCCUGCCAACCACAGUUAGAAACCCCACAGCACCGCUGCUGCUGCUAAUCAAAUGUUAAAUGUUGAAUGCUGACGUGACACCACUUGUUACAUUUUCAGGUUUUCAAUGUUAACUGAUGUUUUUCCCCCUCUACUUUUCAUGGUGGUCCAUGAUGGUCUUUAUAACAGAAUCCUCUUUAAUUUUUUAAGUAUUGUUCUCUUUCCUGGCCUCCAUUUUAUAGCAGCUGUUCUCAGACUCUCUCUUGGUGCCCCCUUGUGGCUGUUGGUUUUCACUACAACCAGCUGGUUCAUCAGAGCUGCUGGGUACCUUGAGUUAAUUUCCCUGGUUUGCUAAUUUCUACUCCCAUUCACAGACACUGCCUACUGCGGUGCUCCUGCAGGUGUUGUAGUGGUUGGCAUUCCACUGGUGCCACGUAGGUUGACAGCCCUGCCAAAACCCUGAAGGCAGAACCCUGGCUUGCAGUACGUGUCCACUUUCUGAAUGCCAGCACACCUGCUUGAGGUGAUCUGCUCAGAUUUGCCAUUCAUUUUCAUGUCAAUGUGAGAAGUGACCAUCUUGUUAUUUCACACUUUACAUUCUUCUAGCAUUAAAGUAGCUUGACAAAUGAGAGGACGACAUUCAGUCCGAGUUCGUUUGGUAGUGUAGGCUGAACGGGAGCAGCCAACUCGCAAACCCGUGUUGCACUGUGGCAAAGAAAAGUAUGCGAACCCUUUGGAAUGACCUGGUUUGCUGCAUUUAAGUGGUCAUAAAAUGUGGUCUGAUCUUCAUCUGUACCAUUCUAAUGUCUUCUUUGGCAGUUAUAACUUCUAACAAGCACUCCUGCUCGCUGAAUAUCAGACCUCCACAAUGUUCAGGAGGAGUUUACCAGACUGCUUCAGCUCAGCCACGUUCCUAGGAUGUCUGCUGUGAUUGUCUCUCUUGAGGUCAUGCCAUGGCAUCUCUAUUGCGUUGAAUGACUGGACCCCUCCAAAAGGUGAAUUUCCUGGGCUGUAGCAGAUAUUUAAUGUUUAGUGGCAGUGACCUGCUGCUUGACCCGACGUCUACCGGAGUUUAAUCUCUCAGACAGUCGCCCUGUCGGCUACCUUGAUAAACUGGGGAAUUUACAGUAUUUACCCCUUGAUGAUGGCAAGCUGUCCAGGCCCCACAUCGUGCUGCUCUCUCUACCAUACUUCAUCACUCGGUUGAUGUUUUCAUGUCGGUGGGCAGUGCCCUUUUUAUACCACGUGUGCCGCUGCAUAUUCUUCAUCAACAAUCCAUUUUUUUCAUCAGUCCACAAAACCGUAUCCCAGUCCCAUUGUUAGAGUAAGUACCAAUGUUCUUUGGCAAACUUGGGGGCCGGGAUAUACUUAACGCUCUCAGCACACUUUUAAUGUGUCCUCUGUGCACCACGCCUUACAUUAGUGUGGCACAAAUGUGCGAGUUGCAGUACCUGUAAAAAUUUGGGUGGGGCAGUGUGAUGGCAAGCAGCAUCGCAGCUCCAACAGGAUCAAUGUGUGCGCUUAAAUGCCAGCUUUCGAAUGUCUUCAUGGUGCUGUUCUUUAAUCCAGUUCUCGUAUAGACAACACAAGCAUCACAUAAACCCCAUCAUAAUGAUGAAAUCCAUUUUAAAGGUCUCACGUGCCAUCAUCCGGGUGGCUGUUUUUAUUUUUGCAUAUUUGCAACAGCAUCAGAAUGCAAAGAAUUUGUAUCUUCAAUAUCUUUCUUCCUUAAACUCACAACACAUUGAAACCAGACAUGUUUACUCAACAUGGUUUCUCGCACUGCCACCUGUUGGAAUCCUCCAGAUUUACAUAACGUUUGCACACAAGUGUAGUCGGUAGACUGGAGCAGCGUCCUCAAGUAUAUCCUGGCACUUGGUGGCAUCGUGGAGUAUCAAGAUAUUCAUUGGCAAACUUCAAGCGUGUUGUUUUUGGAGAGCAGUGGCUUCCUCCUUGGCCUGUUUAAUGUUUUGUGUGUUGGUAGACUCAUAAACGGAGAUGCUCACCUGUUCUGAUGCCUCCUUCACUUCAACUUUUACUUUUAGGUUCUUCUUUACCUCCUUGAACAGUCCAUGUUGUGCCUUUUUAGUCAUCUUGGCUGGUGCCCACCUUUAGGGAGAGUAGCCAGAGUGCUAAAUAACCUCCAUUUACACACAAAUUGUCUGACUGUGGACUGACUGGCAGAUAUCUAAACUCUUCGAAAUGACCGCCCUGACCAGCUUCAUGCACAUCAACAAUCCUCGAUCAUAGAUCUUCUGAGGUCUUUCUUUUUGUGAGGCAUGCUUCACAUCAGCAGCACACUCCAAAUUUUUUGGUCUUUUAUUUUAUUGGUCAGAAUAUCUCUAAGCCACACCUCCAGUCUCAUUUCAUUGGUUGGACUUUAGGUUUGCCAACUGCUGACUCCAUUAGCUAGGAGUUCACAGAAUUUUUCCAAGUACUGAACAUUACAAUAACGUGUGCGUUGUUAGUUGAAACAGAUCGUGUUUGUUUGAUGUUAUAACUUGGAUGAAGUUCAGACCAGAUUCAUAAUUGAAGAUACAUUUCUAUGUUUUUUUCUAUAAUAAGAUUAGGGGGGUUUGGAGAGGGCUGACUGGCCAGGAUGUCCGACACACACACACCCUCACUCAUAGGUGACCUUCAGUUGGAUCAAGCGGGUCUGAUAACGACAUGCAGAGAAGCCGAAGUGAAGGUCAUUGGGAUGUGGUGGCAAACCCAUACAGAGAAAAUGCAGACUCCACAGAGGUGAUGGGUCCUUGGCUAGGAUUUCAACCCAGGACCCAGCUUCUGUAAGGCCACAUUUUGCCAACCUGAACUAAAUUCCUUGGGCAAAUCAAUCCAAUCUGACUGCAUAACAUUCAUUGGAAUGAACCCCAGUAGCCACUGGGGGACGACAGGACCUAUUUGUUGGGAGGGACCGCUCUGUAGUGUAAGUAAAUGUCCAACACGUGUGCUGUAUGUGCUGUGCGGGUGCUUCUCAUGUGGAACUCGGUGAAUAAACGUCAGUGACAAAGCC